ACCUACACACACACACACACACACACACACACACACACACACACACACACACAGAUUGAUCUAUAUUAAGGCUUACUAUUCUAAUUGAUUGUGUUUCCAAGUUGAAUUCUGUUUGUUUGUUGUAAAAUACAUACAGAGUGAAAACAGAGUAAUAAUGAGAGAUCACAUGUGAAUGUGUGUGUGUGUGUGUGUGUGUGUGUGUGUAUAUGUGUGU